rnacentral:lncRNA from 1 species
ACCCCUUUUUUAUCAUGAUUGCUGUUUCCCUCUCCACUCUCUGGAUAUUUAUAAGGUUUUAUUACACUCUACUUUCAAACAGCUUCAUUACUUGUUUUUACACAGAACUUUAAAGGGAAUUGAAAAAACCCACUAUUGCUACUGAAUCCAGGGACUUUCUUUACACUUGAGGCCUCACAGAUUUUCUCUGCUGACUUACAUCACCUGACUGGUCACACCACAAUACAUGUCAGAUUGCAACUUGUCAUGCAGUUGAUUACAGACCUCUUUUUGAAGGAGUUGAAGCUCGUGUGCUUAAGCUACAAAACAAAUGUAUCAUACAUGCUCUUCACAUACACUUUGUUCUUCAUAUUAAAUCACACGCAUCAUAGAUCUUUAAGGACAAAGUCAUUGAUGCAAAGCAUACUGGCUCCUUUAACCAUUGCAAACCUAGCAAAAUAUUGUCAAAUAUAAGAGCUAAGACACAUAAAACAAAUUACCAGGCUUUGUUUUCUUCUGUCAUUUAGUGCAUAUUUCAUAGUUGUUGUUGAUUUUUUUUUUUGCUUCAAUAUUUAACCUUGUUUAAAAUCUCAUGUUCAAGCUCCGUUGACUUGUCCCUCCAGACACUGGAGAAAGCUUUCAGGGUUGUUUCAGAGAUGCAUGAACCCUAAGUUUUGCCUACAGUAGUUCUUCAUGAAGUUAAUGGCUGUCUGCAAUUACUUCUUGUCAUUAGUUUACGAUUUUGCUUAAGAUACACUUUUGUGUGCAUUUUCCUGUAUGUUUGCAAAGUAUCUCUCAGUGAGAGCUCUCAGCUGAAGAUAACUGAGGUAAUUAAGGAUUCCAAACAUCCACACGGUAAUUUUACCUCUUUUCAAGUAGUUCAACCUAAUCGAGGGAAAAAACGAACGCAGUAACGGCUCUGAAUACGGGCACGGCCUCGGUGCAGGCGAGCGUUGUGGAGCGAGACCAGCCGGCUGAGCAUGGAAAGGCGGGAGGCGGCCGUGCCUCCGCCCGCCAGAGGAGCCCGCGCCGCCCACAUGGAGGCUGCUCCGGGAGGAGCGCGAGAACUGCCCCGCGCUUCUCUGCUUCCUCCUCUGGGGUCCGCGGGGGUUCGCAGGCACGAGGGGUGCGGCGCGCGGUCAUGGAGCGCGGCGGGACCGAGCAGACACCGGCCGGGGCUCCGCAGGUUUGUUGGAGAAACCAUCAGGAAUGUUUAAUGGCAGAUUCACCAAAAAAGAAGCAUUCCUGUCUUUUCAUGCCGUGCAUAAUUAAGGUGUGGAACUUUUUGCCACAGGACAUUGUAGAGGCUAGAAAAUAUGCAGAGCUUAUUAAAAGGGCACAUUCAAGGAAUAAUUGCUUAAGGAAGUUAACACAACAAGAAUAAGCUAAGAAUAAGCCAAGAUGUACCAAGGUAUGCAAGAUGUUGAAAGCUAGGACAAGGUAAUCUUUCAAUGAACCUUCCAUUGGCUACUGCUAGAAAUACCAGACAAUACUGGCCUUUAAUCUGAGACAGCAUUACUAUCUAACGUUGGUACUGCUUAAGAGUUAAAGCAUUCAAUUAAAUAAGUAGCUUUGAGUUUGUGCUAGAAGCUAUACAUGUUAAAUAGGCUCUUGCAUCCAUGAAAUAAUGGUUUUAUUUUCAUGGUAAGCGUACAAUGUUUUGCUUUUGUAGAAAAAUCAAAAG